rnacentral:rRNA from 1 species
CCUACGGGUGGCAGCAGUGAGGAAUAUUGGUCAAUGGACGAGAGUCUGAACCAGCCAAGUAGCGUGAAGGAUGACUGCCCUAUGGGUUGUAAACUUCUUUUAUAUGGGAAUAAAAUGUUCCACGUGUGGGAUUUUGUAUGUACCAUAUGAAUAAGGAUCGGCUAACUCCGUGCCAGCAGCCGCGGUAAUACGGAGGAUCCGAGCGUUAUCCGGAUUUAUUGGGUUUAAAGGGAGCGUAGGUGGAUUGUUAAGUCAGUUGUGAAAGUUUGCGGCUCAACCGUAAAAUUGCAGUUGAAACUGGCAGUCUUGAGUACAGUAGAGGUGGGCGGAAUUCGUGGUGUAGCGGUGAAAUGCUUAGAUAUCACGAAGAACUCCGAUUGCGAAGGCAGUUCACUGGACUGCAACUGACACUGAGGCUCGAAAGUGUGGGUAUCAAACAGGAUUAGAUACCCCAGUAGGUC